GCAUUUUCAGUGACAGAGAACCAGAAUAAGAUUUGUAGGGAAACAAGCCUUGUUACAAGGUUUGAGGGUCUCUGCUAGAAUCAUGUGGACCCCAGUGUAACAAAUCUAUGGAAAGAGAGAAAAUCUCAGCUCAAGGGUCAACAUGUCUUUAUUCCAAGAAAGAGUGUACAUAUGCCAGAAUCAUAUGGACCGCAGACUGGCCCUGGUGAUUCCGUUAAGAAAAAAGAGGAAAA